UACCGUUUUUUGAACGGAGUUAACAUAGUUAAGUAAAGUUCCGAGUAGAAAUUGAUUAUGACAGUUUCUAUGAGUAUGUCUUGACCAAUUCAUGUGCCAGCAGUCGCGGCAAUACAUGUAAGACUCGUGUUAUUCAUCUUUAAUAGGUUUAAAGGGUACCUAGACAGUUAAUUAAGCCAUAAAAAAGGAACUAAUUAGACUAGAGUUUGAUGUAAGAAGUAUAGUACGGUGUGUGUAGAGUUAAAAUUCAGUGAUACCACUUAGAAACAGGUAAUAGCGAAGGCAAUCUUCUAUGUAAAAACUGACGUUGAGGGACGAAGGCUCGUUAAAAAAAACAGGAUUAGAUACCCUGGUAUUUUGGGCAGACAAUGAUGAAUGUCAUAUGCAAGAAUUAUUUUGUGUAUAAAUGAAAAUGUAAGCAUUCCACCUCAAGAGUAAUAUGGCAACAUAUAAACUGAAAUCAUUAGACCGUUUCUGAAACCCGUAGUGAAGUAUGUUAUUUAAUUUGAUAACCCACAAAGAACCUUACCACAAUUUGUAUAUUUUUUUACAAGCGUUGCACGGCUGUCUUCAGUUAAUGUCGUGAGACUUUGGUUAGAUCCAUUUAAUU
rnacentral:rRNA from 1 species